UACGUAGGGGGCAAGCGUUGUCCGGAAUCAUUGGGCGUAAAGAGCGUGUAGGCGGUCCGGUCAGUCGGUUGUGAAAGUCAAGGGCUCAACCCUUGAAUGCCGGCCGAUACUGUCGGGCUAGAGUCCGGAAGAGGCGAGUGGAAUUCCUGGUGUAGCGGUGGAAUGCGCAGAUAUCAGGAGGAACACCGAUAGCGAAGGCAGCUCGCUGGGACGGUACUGACGCUGAGGCGCGAAAGCGUGGGGAGCGAACAGG
rnacentral:rRNA from 1 species